ensembl:lncRNA
GUAUGUCAGAGCUCUAGACACUAGAGCAAUUGACUUGUUGAUGAACUUACUAGCAUAGUUAUUAACAGAAUAGUAAUAAGCUUACUAUCACAAUGAUUAAGAUAGUUAUUAACAUAGUAAAUAAUUUAAUUAACAAUGAUACUUUUUAACAUUUAUUGGUGCAGUUACGAACUUUUUUAUAUAUUCUGUGAGGAGGUGCGCUCUGGUAUUCAUGGUGUCUUCUUGCUUUGUCCCCCCAGACAUUCUCAGUUCUUUUCUGCUUUAUUCUCCCUUGUAGUCUUUCCCUCCACAUGGUGAAUCCUUAUUGUCUAUCGCCCAAAAGGUUACUCUUCUUUCUACAACACAGUGCAUGUCAUGAAAGUUGAAAAUGUGCAGUCAGUACUGGAUCCACUGUACACGUGGCACAAUUGCCUUCACCCCAGGAACUAAGGCAGGAAGCUCAGUUUGUUCUGGGGCAGAUUCAUAUUCACUCUUGAUCUCUUUUGCUAGAAGUCUGUGCAGAGCAACAUACAAAAGAAUAAAAUACAAUCAAGUGGAAUAGUACUGUCGAACAUAAUUAAACAAUAUAACAAGCAUAUUUUUGUAACUGUUAAUAUUGAGAAAGCAAUUCUUCUGAAAUCUAGGCAUCUUUCUGAAGAAAAAAGUCAAGUUCAAUGUGGUUAUUGCCUUACCUACUUAACAUUUUUAGCCAUGCCGUGCAUUAGCUGGACUUUGAAACUACUAAUGGGAUUUGCAUUGGCUUCAAAGUAUAUUACAGCAGCUCAUAAAGCUCCAUGUGAGAGGGACAAGGUGCCUGCUGUUUCAGUGCUUGCUGUUUCUGUUCUGUGAUGGACCGCAUAUAAAAUGUGGUAGAGGGGUAUGGCAUCUUCAAGCAGACUGAGACACAUCUCUUUCCUCUUGCCACUCUCAGACUCAGCAGUAAGAAACUUUUAUCUGCAUAAUGAGCGGAUACUAAGGCAGGGAAUUCUGAGAGCACUUUUACCAUUGGUUCAAAUGCAGCUGAUAAAUUACAAGCACAAAUUACAGAUUUCUGCAGGACUAAAUCUACCCUUUGAAAAUCAGACAUCUGCUUCCAAAGGGGCAUACCACUACAUGCAGUUAUUUCAGUUUAUAACUGCUUCUAGCCCAUCGUGUUCAGGCUCAGGUCUAACAGAGCAACAGUGUUUGGCACAUUCACCAUUCACACUACAUGGUGUCGUGUGUGGGCUGACUAAUGCAACUGCAGAGGACAGUAAGUGGUUCAGAGAUAAGCACGUGUGCACACAUUCAGAUAGCAGCAGCACCUGAUCCCAAGGUUACAUGUCCUCCCUUUUUUGUGCACCUUUAUUGUAGUCUUGUCAAUAGACCAACGUGUAUCAGGAGUGCUUUUGAAAAUUACAUAUAUUUUUAUAAAUGCAUAUAAACUUAUACAUGCAUAUAUCUAUACCUGGAGAAAGAGAUGUGAUGGCGAAUAUGUAAGUACAGAAACAUGGCCUCCUAAGAUAUGACCCUUAAUAUGCCACUAAAUGUUGGCUAAAUUAAUUAAUUAAAUUAAUGAUACAUAAACUUUUUUUUUUUUGAGUUAUGGAGUUUUGUUCUUAUGCAUGAUCAGAAGAAAAAAAACACAUAACAAACUCUAAAGCUGGCCUCACAGCAGUGCCAUCACCAAUACUUUUGCAUCUCUUACAUGUUUAGAGAUGAGGGGUCCUGUCAAGCCUGGCUGGUAUGUGGAUAAUCCCAAAGGAGGGAUGUGUAUUUUCCACCCUUCCCGGUCCUCACUUUUGCAGAGGAUGCUACCUGAGCAUACCUGAGGACUGUAACUGAGUCCCACCGUCACUGAGAAGGGCAGGGAAGAAACAUGUAUCAGCAGGGCCUGGCUUCGGCAACUGUAGAAACUUGCCAUGCAUUCUGUGCAUCAUUUUUAUAGCCCUGAUCAUGACAUAUGAUAGAAGCCAGAAAAUAGUCUCUUAUCAUCAUACUGCAGACAAGAGUCUCUCUUAUAGUAUGUGCCCUGGGCAUAGUCCUGCCAAUUUCACUGGCACAGAUAUGGAAAGCUGUAUUUGCUCUUUUCUGUAACCUAUUUACAGGGAUUUCUUAUGAAUCCCCAGAAUUUCCCCUGGAGUGGGACAACCCCAUGCUGUUCUCAGUUAGUGUUGUACUAUUUUCCUGAAGAAAAAAAAUACAGUUGUAUUAAGCCUGAAAGAUUUCUGUCACAAAAUAUUUGCCAAAUGCAGCCCAGGAUUUUAUUUUGGGACUUUUUGGGCAGCUUCCUUCUGAGCUGGGGUCCUUGGGAAUCCAAGGUCACCAGCUUGGGAUGAGCUAGGUCCUCCCACCUCUCAGCUUGACAAGGGAAGGAGAAAGCUCAGACUUGGCUAUAAUAAAACCCCAAAGACUACAAACCUUGAAGUCACAGGCAGCUGUUCAGAAAAAAAAUGACCUUUUUUGCAUCAGCAAAAUGGAGAAAAAUGGCAAUUUUAUUGAGAGGAUGCAUGUUCUGGGUAGAAUAAUUAAUCUGGGAAGUAUUAUAUGUCUUAGGUUAUGAAAGAAAAUGUUAUUGGAAUAUCUGUUUCAUAGGAAUUUGUGAAACAUUUUAUAUUUUGGUUCAAUUUUGAUUAAAGUAAAAUCUGAAGAAGAUUGUUUUUUCACACAUCAGAAGGCUACCAGUUCUCCUUCUACUACAGGCUAGGUCUAAUUAAGCAAGUUCUUGGCUUAGUAGGCAAGGAGAUAUCCAAAUAAAACAAAUAGCUAUGCUACUGGUCUCGCUUACAUCAUGGGAGAAGUUGACAGCUUCACUAGUGUUAUUGUAACUAGGAUUUGAAAGCAGUAUAAUAAAUAAAUGUCAUUGUUUUGUCAAAGAGAUGUAAGACUUCUAUAUUAGCUGUAUAUUUGCCCUCUGGACUGCUGGAAAACAGAGGGAAGAAAGAUGGCAAAAAUAGAAGCACUUGAAAAAUAAGAUGAAAGUGUAGGUAAAUAACCAAAAUAGUUUUUAGUUAUAGCUAAGUAUUUAAAUUUCCAUUUACCCUAUCCAGUCUUGAAAUACUAAGGUAAACUUUGCAGUAGUACUUAUAAACACUUCACAAGAAUCUCACUAUUUCUCAGCCCCAUACAUCUCAGUGAGAUGCAGUGUCAUGUAAUGUCCUCUUCAUGUUACAAAUGUUCUUAUGGAUAACAAAGACAGGAGCCAGCAAAAAGGUUUACCUUGACAUGGGAAGUUCAGAAUACUGUGCUGCCACCUGAAAUGCUCAGCUAUUGCCACUGAGGAACAGGAGUGUGAAGCAUUUCAGAGCACUAGAAAGCUGUAGCCUUUCCAAGGUUUCUUUUCUGUACAGUUUUAAAUAACAAGAACCUUUACCUUCUUUCUCUAGAAAGAAAACAGGCUUAUCUAGCCAUGAGAAAGAAAACAAGUUGCCCAUCUUCCAGAGGGCUGGCAGACUAAAUGCAUUUGUGCACUCACGUGCAACAACCAGGGGCAAGCCAUUUGACUGCACAUAGUGGUCAAUAUUGCAAGCAGAGUGGAAACGAAGAGUUUGUAUUGAGUGAAGAUUUUUGUUCUAUGUAAGAUGUACUCCAUCUGCAGAUGCAUUUAGAUGUUUCCAUUUUCAUGGAAAUUGAACCCAAGAGGGAGGGGAAAACACGACACCUAAUGACCUAAUGCAAAGGUAAUUAAAAAAAAAGAUUGUUUAUAUGGGAAUGUGGGACCUAAUGUCUUUCUCUGUAUGCCGCAUUUUACUCAAAUGCCAGUUUUCAUUUUUUACUUUGUGGAAUGUAGAUGAGCAGGUCAGUUGCAUAAUAUGUGUGCUUUCCCCCUUUUCUCCAUUGCUUUCUCCAUUACCUUUGGCUUGGAUAAAUUCCUUUGAAAAUGAGCUUAACGGAGCACAGGGUCAAGUGAGUUUCCUGGUGGUACUCAGUAGUCCGACCAGUCAACUGGCUACAGCAGUUGACCCAUAGUAGUAAACUAACUCCCACUUAGAACUAGUGUCUUUUAAUGGUUACAGAAAUCCAUCAGUUUCCAAAGAAAAAAUGUGACAGAAUGACAGCUCUCAGGCUGGGCAGGACAGUUACUAAGUUAUGUAAGAAACAGCCUUCUGUGCAUUGUCAAAUUUUGCCUGCAAUAUGUUUGGCCAAAGAUCAACCAUAAACUGAGACUGUGAACUCUUCAGACUUUGUCUGACCUGCCUGUGGUUGUCUCUAUUAUGUAGCUGCCUAAUCUGGGCCAGAAUUACAUUUUCUUGCAUUCUAGAUUUUAUCAUCCUUUUAUGUUGUACAUCCAGUAUCUCUGUGAGAAAAAGACUGGGAUUUCUUCAAGAAGUGAACCGAGCAAAGCAGGAGAAAGCAAGAAGUAUACAGAAUCAAAGCACCCUGAAAAGUUUAUGAAAUAGAGAUGACAUUGGAAGUACAGAUUGAAGGAUGGGCUAGGAGGAAGCAGACAAUCCAAAUGUGCAAAGAGAAAAAGAAAGGAUAAACUGAACGCUGAAGGUUAUUGCAGGUGAGAUUCUGUUGAAAGUGUAAAGAAAAAUGAAAGCAGCAAGGAUGCUGAAGGAUUCCAGUUUUCAUUAUCACACUUGGACUAAUGCACAUUUCAGUUGCAUGUAGCGCAUAGCAUAUAAAUGAGGUAUACAUCGAUUGCACCGAAAGUAAUGUCUCCUGUUUGUUUCUAUGAAAAUGACAAAGAUACAAAGAGCACAAUACUGUUUGAUAGAGCAUAUUCUCAGCUACAAGACUAAUUUUCAACACACCACCGCUUGCUAUGCAUUUUCAUCAGUGAUGAACAGGAGCCUACAUGCCACGCUCAUAAUGGAAUGUAAUAAAAUAAUGAUGGGAAGGUUCAACCCCUACUGCCAUACCACCAACAUCUGCCUCUGACAUUGUGGAUCAAUGUAAUAAAAUAGGAGACAUUACUUUCGGAGCAGCCAUUAUAUUUGCUGUAGAACUAAAUGUAAGAAAAGCAAAAAAACUCUUCUAACAGAGAAAAAGUGGGGCUGUCUUAUCUGUUUAGCAUACUCAUGGUAGUGUUUCUAUAAGAUAAAAAUCUGUACUAUUAGAAAUGAACUUGGAUAAGCUGAAAAAUGGACUCCCAGGGAGUUCUGCUGGAAAUCUGAAUAGUUUUAAGGUCUAUAUAGCACUCAGAAAAUUUUGUACAGGAGUUUUCUGUGGAUUCUCUGGAGUUUAACACUCUGGGUUCCUAAAAGAUACUGCACUGGCAGAUCCAGGGGGCUAAAUCAGAUUCAGCAGCAAGUAAAUUCCUGAUUCCAUCAAGAUCAGAGAAAGCUCCCUUCAGACUUAUUCUUGAAGUGGCACUACUCAAAGGCCUGUGGUCAAAGUUCUGUGAGGUCCUGUGCAGAGUGAUAGGAGUAGUUUUGAAACCAGCAAAAUCAAGAAUGAAAAAGAAAAAGAAAAAAAAAAAAGAAGGAGGAAUAGAGUGAUAAAUGAUCCUAUGUAAAUAUAAUGCAGUAAAAAACAAAUCAUUCAAUGAAUUGGAAUAGGACAGGACUUGUUUGAUGAGUUUAUGUGGACAUCAUAGAAAAUAUGCACAAUGGUGCAUGUCUUUUUGUAUUUUUCUUUGUACCUGAAUAUGCACAGACCUCCAUUAGGCUAUUUCCUGGUUUACUCAUAGCAUAAAGGGAGCCUGAAAGGAGAGUUAAGUAGCUCCAGAAAAUCAUGUCGAUAUGCUUCCUAAGAGCAUCUGCUGUUUGGCAUCCUGACCCUGUAGACAGGAGGAGAGCUUCUGGGUGACAUAUCUGCAAGAUGAAGGGUACUUGUUUCUCAAAUGUUGAUUCUUAAAACUGUGAAUAAAUUAUAUCAUUUAAAUGAAGUAACUUUGCUUUUCUGUUUUUCUGAGUAAAAGGAGGUGCCCGUGGAUGAGGGCCAGAAUAUUCUCCUGUCUGCUUACCAGUCAAAAUCAUUUCAUUUAUUUGCAGUUCUAUUUUCUAUUAAUUUAGGAAGGAGUGCCAACUGUAUGGCUUUAUAGUAGAUUUGAGUUCUUGAUGAGUUUGGUUCACAAUGUAAUAUUAUUGUUGUCUUGUUGGAGUACUGCCUCCUUCAGGGCUUGACUCUUCCAUCUCUAUUCCAUGGUGAGAAAGAAGAGUCUAUAAGGCUCUCAGAUUCUAAGACAUGCUAUUUUUUCCUUCAGCUGUUUUUGAAACUUCAUUUUCCUUUUGAAUUGAUCGUCUUUUCAAUUGUUGUAUGUUGUUGUGGUCAUAACAACAAAUAUCAGUGAACAUCACAGCUCUUCAACAGGUGGUUAAGGCUUUGAAGAAAAGCGUUGCUGUUUAUGCUCAUUCUCAUAACUUUUGAAAAGUAUUUCUUAUUUGAAUUUGCAUUUGUUUUAAUUUGAUAUUGAUAAGAUCCAGAUAGUUAACUAUAAUUGUUUAUUCAAGAUAUCUAGCUCUCUCUUAUUCAGCUAACUAUUAGGUUACAAAUAGUGGCAGCUGAACAGUUCUUUUCAUUAGUUUGCAAUAUUUAAUCCAUAAGUGAUUAUUUCAACAUACAUGCAUAAGAGAUUAAAUGAAUGUAUGAACAAUGCUUCCUGUGGCUAAAUUUUUGUGUGGUAAAUGUAUCCUCAUGUUAAGGACUUGAUAGAAUACAUAAGGCACAGAACAUGGUACGUAUUACUUGAGCUUGGGUGGUCUAGUAGAUCAUUUCCACAGCUCAAAGCCCCUCACCAUUUAGUGAAUAUACAAUACAGUAUUCUUCCAUGACUAUUUACAUUCCUUUUUUUUUUUUUUUUUUUUUUGCAGCAACUUCAAAGGCAUACAUUAGGCAUUUCUAUCCCUUUGCCUUUUUUUGAUCUUCUUGAAAAUGAAUUUUACUGUGGUGUCAAAAUAUAAUACAGUCCACUCAUUCAUUAGACACAGAAGUAUCAUUAGUUGUAAUGAGAAAGAGCAUAAUGCUGAAAAACAGUCAUGGAAGAAAAAUCAAAAAACAAGACUAGGAAGCUCUAAGAAAAAUAAAGCACUGCCUCUUUUAUCCCAUCAAAGCCUUUGUACAGUAGGAGAAAUGAUUAAGAAGGCACUGCAGAACAGAAAAUCUGAGAAAAAUUCAAUUUUAUUAUUUUAGAGGUUUCUGAGCAGGCAAGUUCUGCAGUCCUCUUGAAGCUCAAUUAUAAUUCAGUAGGAAAAGGCAAAGGAGAAAGAUUUUAAAUGGAAGUUAAAGAGGGACUGAAUGUAGAGUGAAGAUAAUGAGAUCUUUCUGUCCCUAAUAUAACCAAGGAAAAUGCUCCAUGUAAUUCUUAAAUGAGUACUCAGUUCUACCACAUCUUUACAAAAAGUCCCCAGAUUUCUCAUUUGUAAAACCACUCUGAAUUUUCAAGGGGCAAAUAAAAAAUUGCCAGUUUAAAACAAAAUUAAAGGAACCUAAGAAACUGUGGCCAUAAUUGCAGUGAAACCUGUAUGCUUCCACCUAUAGAGACUUCCCUUUGAGGAUCUCAGAAAACUGCAGACAUUAAUCAAAUUUCACAAUGAUAAUGGAAAAUAUUUUAGUUUUUUCUAGAAUAAUCAGACCUAUUUGCAGUCAGAAAAAUAUUGUUUUGUCAAAAUCAGAGCAAUGUAUUUCUUUGCUGGGCUUUGUAAAGGUUUGUCUUGAUAACAUCAACUGUGUUGGGUGCAUGUUUUGACUAUUCCAGCUGUUAGAUCCCAUUAUAUUCCCAUACAGGACAUUUAAGAAUGAUGGAAGUCCAACUGAGGGUCAGAAAAAUUGUUUUGUCCCUACUAAAUUCAGAUCUUUUAUUUUUAUAAAUUUAUUUUGACUUUUUGAUAAUGAAAAUUCUCAGAAAUUUCAUUGUGUAGGAACUUAAUGUUGUUGACCUUCUGUUAGAGUUCAGGAUGAAAGGAAAGAGCAAUUAUUUGUAACUUUCCAGAGACUGAAAGAUUUGAGAUUUUCUUGAUGGUAAUUAUAUCAGAUUUUCAGAGCUUUAAGCCUUGCUCUGUAAACAGCACUGCAGAUGUUAAAAUUUAAACAAAAAGUGCCUAAUCUAUAGUCUACAAACUUGUGAUCUUAACUGUCUAUUUAUCUACAGAACAAGAAUUUUACAGAAAUAUGAAAAACAGCAAUACUAAAACAAUCAAAUACAAAUAAAAAAAAAAGAAAAAAUAAAGCAUCUCCAUUUGAAAUGCUUAAGCUUAGGCACACAGAAACCUGAAAAUAGACAAAGGACAAAGCAGAUAACAUGGAUAUAUGCACUUUAUUCAUCAUUAAAACUGGCUGUUUCAGAUAGGCUGAACUGAAUUAAAAUAUUCAAUGGAAUAAUAUGUAAUUACUGAAAACUGGCUAGUAUUAAUAAUAGUAGUUGUUUUUUUUAAUACAAAGCAAUGCUGAAACAAAAAAAUGUCCUAUUUAAAAUCUCAUUCAAAAUGAAACCAAGUGAACAUAUUUAUAAAUAAUAUAUACAGUUUCCAAACUAUCCUGUGAACUAGCAAUAUUAGCAACAUGCACCAUAUACAUUUUUGCAUACACAUCUGAAAGCAGCAGGAUAUGAUCUUUUACUUCAAAGGCAGCCCCUGUAUAUCUAAGAUUAAACAAAAGUGUCUUUUAUGGCUGAAUCAAGGUUUUAGGGCAGAUGGGGCAGUAAGUAAACAGUACUCAAAACAGUGAAGAUGGAUUCAUGUAAAGCAGGAAACAACUCUGAUCAGACAUUUGAGAAUGUAUUAGAAAGAGAUGUUUGUGGAUAAGGGAGGAAGAAAAGACAGGCAAAAGAAAAAAAAAAGGAAAGGGAGCCAUCAAAACAAUUUACUUUUACUUUAAGGCAUCUUGGUAGACAACAUUAAGUGAAAAAAUCGCUAACUUCCAAGAUCAGCAACUAUACUGAAAGGAGUAAGGUAUUUGCACAGAGGCAAAAUUGGCUUAAACACUGAAGACAGAAGGUCAUCUUAAGUGAACUUCAUAAAAAGGAAUGCAACUAAUGGCCCUCCACAUGGGUAAUCAUUAAGGAUGAUUCUGCUCAUUUUUUACACCUGUGGCCUAGAAGAGGUAAUGCAGCUCUCUGACAGAGAAGAAGCUAGAGUGAAAGACCAGUUAUCAAGUGAAAAGAAGUGUUUGAAUUGAGUUAGACUAGAAAUGAUGUGAUGUAGAGAAGAGAUGAGACUGUUAGUAACAAGCAGAUGUGCAAUAGAAAACUCUAAUAAAGAUAAGGAUCUCAAUGAUGUUAUCUAGAAUAGAAAUUUUGUUUAUUAGAUUCUGAAGUUAAACAACUGAGAAAAUUAACAUAAAUAUAAGUUAAAAUAAUGUUUGCCUGAAGACAAAUAUUACUGAAUAUUCAAGCAAAUCUUUGAAUGCAUGUUACAGAUAAUAUAUUUAUGUAAAUAUAUCCACACUAGAAAAACACUCUGAUAAUAAAGGUAACUAUCAGCCAGCCCAAAACGUAAAAGAAAGUUGAGCUUCUUUCAUUUCCUUGUCAAUAGCUUAGAGAUUGAAUAUGGUGUUGAGUGCUUUCAUGGCAGAAGCAAGGACCUAAAAAAAGGAAAUGUCAGAUUUUUUUUCCUGUACUGGGACAUUAGGUUAUCAUCAUAACACAUGAACAAAACUACUUUUUUUUUUUUUUUUUUUUUUUUUUUUUUUUUGCUAUUAUGCAUCAGUAUUUUCUUUCUGUUUCACGUUUGGUGAAGCAGUUAUAAAUGCAAGAAAGUGACAUAUUUUCAAAAAUUGAAGUUUUUUGAGCCAUGCUUAUAUGAUUCGGAUAGAUGUAAAAAUAGCAUAUUUUGAUGCUGAUCAAAAUGCAUCUGAAAGCAUUAAUAUGAUGUCUCAUUAAUCUGGACUUAUAUAGGCAAAUGCAACAUGUAUAAUUCACAUUAUAUAAUUACAGCAGAAGAGAAUAUAAAUUCUCUUAUCCUGGAAACUUCUAAAUUAUGAUAGAAUUUUCUGUACUGUAAACUGCUCUUGGCUAAAAUCUUUUCAAAUACAUAAGCUGAAAAUUGUUUCACUCGCUGACCUGUGAGCCAAGUUCCCCAAAGCCUGAUGCAAAUUAAAAUGGCUGAGUUAUAAAUAUCUCUGAAAGUAGGUUUAUAAUGGAAACACAACCAGAUCUUUCACUACAGAAGUACUCUUGGGGGCUGUUAGGACAGUUUAUAGAGCUAUCAGCGCCAAACUAUAAGUUAAUGAGGAGGAGCAAUUGACUGUAAUAAAGCACCCCUAAACAAGAAGAGAGCAUUAAAAAAUGCAAGCACUAAAAAUUCCUUUUGGGCUUCCCAUUAGCUAUGUCCCUGUAUAAAGUUGCUUCUUUCAUCAUUCUGGAAUAUAUUGCCAUGACUUCUUACAUUUUCAUGUGCUGAAUUCGGUACGUACACUUUUAUAGGCCUGGGGAAGAGGUGUGUGUGAAACUUAAAGUCAGAAGGCAGUUGUCAAAAAGCAAUUUACUAUUCUCCUCUCUUCUCAGCCUUACCUCUGUUCUCUUUAUUAUUACGUGACUGGGAAUGCACCGUAGGAUGACAGCAAGAUAAAAUUAGAUAUGGCUCCAUUUGACUUUUGCACCUUUUCACAUCAAUCUAUUCUCGCAAGUUUUAUUGUUAACAUUUGAACGUAGCAGAGAGUACAGGUGCCUAUGGCAGGCAAUCAGUGCUUGAGAGAGCUGCACAUAAAGACAAGACUUAGUUAAUGCUAGGAUAUAAGGGGAAUGUACAUGAGGGAGAGAGACAAUUGCUGUUAUUCUAGGCAUAAGAAUACAUCACUAAGUAAAUUUAAUGUAUGUUAUGACAGUCAUUAUAAAGACAGCAUUCACCGCAGAAGAGAUAACAGAAAUAUUCUUCUCAUUUCAGGGAUGACUGGUGAUGGUGUAGAGUGAUCAGAUUUUUUUCUCUUUUCCAGCCAGAAGUCAUUGUACUCGUUUUGGAAAAGGUAUUUAAAAGAUUGAGACUGAUCAUCAGUAAUUAAUGCUGCUGAAGGUAGACAUGUACAGCUUUGAACUCACCUUGAUUUUUUUACACUGGGACAUAUAUACUACAGGAAAGAUUAAAUAAAUCCUUUGUGUUGGACUGAGAUGUAACCAUCAAGAACAAAACAAAUGAUGAACUAAUCCCCCCAGUACAUUUGUUUAUUUUUCCUUCCUGUUGGCUACAUGCAGUUUGAACUGCAUACAUACACUUCUUAAUGAGAGUAAUAAAGAGAUAAUAUGGACAAUAUGUAUACUAUAUAAAAAGACUCACAGUAUUCCUGUGUCUGGCUUAAAUUAGUGAGUGGUUUAAGAAUAUAAAAUAAUUCAUUGUGUAUAACUUCAACUCCUCCCAAACACUGUUAUUUAAAAUGUAGUAGCAUAAUGAACCCUUUUAAACUUAGAACUCCCUUUGUGGUCCCUUAAGGCUGUGCUUUCUACCUGUCACCCCACUUAAAACGUUGCUACCACCUCAGUUUUCUAUCUCCACUUAACAAUCUCUGAUGGUAAACUGGAAGGUGAAGGGCAAAGCUAAUGGGAGGAUGGCUACAAUUUUUGGAGUUUUGCUCUAGAUUGCAACAAAACCCCAAAUCUUCAGAGUGCAGGAACUGACAUCUUCUUUUGACAAAAUGGAGUUGUGCUUAAAUCCAGUUUCUCCAGUCUAGUCCAAGACAGUUCACUGUGGCCUCCUUUCCUAUGCACAGUGAAUGGAAAGUGAAAAUACAGAAAUUAAGCGAUCUCCAGUUCUCAAUUUUGUUUAAUAGGAUGCCGCCUUGUUUCUAAGCUAAGAAUGUGACGACAGCUUUUAACCUUAAAACCACAAACAGGAGAGCUUCAGAGGUGCUUGCCAAGAUAUGUAGUGCUCUAUGUCUGCAUUUAUGGGAAACCCGUUAACGUGGUCUUUCAUCAGUGUGACUGCUCUCAUUCUGCAAUGCACUGGAGGACUUGCUGACACAGCCAGAGAUUGCUCUGCACCCAUAUGGCUGCAAAAGUGGAACAUUGCUUUCUCUGGGAACAGGAAGAAACUGACAGUCCAAAAAAAUGAAAGUGAAGUUGCGAUCUCAAGUAACUGGGAAUUCAAAUUCAGCAUCGCACAGUGGCAUAGCUGCUCUGUAGACAAUAAAGGUAAGAUCCAUCUCCAUUAGAUUUUCAACUUAGGUGUCUUUUUAAAAUGGGGUAUUUCUAGAGUCUUUUUUUUUUUUUUUUUGCUAGCUGCAGAAAUGAAUAAUGCUUGUUUCUUCCAGUGUGUAUAAAAGGAGUCUAAAAGGAGUCUAAACUGCCACACAGAUCUUGAUAUCUACAUUGUAGGCAUCAAAAGUGUUGAAGAAAAAACCCAGCCAGGACAAUGCAAGUAAUCAAAACUAUAGGAGUGUUGAUGUGCACUAAGAUCAGAACUGCCUUAUAAUCCAGACAGACCACUCAACAAAUUCUGUAUUCCUUCCCACCAGCUUAGUUUGUUAUGCAGUUAAAUGAUGGUGACUACAUCUGAAUGACGUCAGUUGAAUUAUAUUUACUCUCACAGUUGCAACAUUAAAGUAGCCUACCAGAAAGGAAACUGGGCAUUGCUGUCAGUAUGAGCUGCAAACUGUGAAAUGAACCAUUGGCAUUAGAGAGCUCUUGAUGAAAGCCCUGCAGAGAGUAAAGCAGUAGCAACUGCUUCUAACAAGUGGUUUCAGAAUUUUAAAAACCAUCAGGUAAAUAUUCCAUUUACUCAGUAUCUGCUAACACAGAAAUAAUUGCCUGUAGCUGCAGUAAGUUGAGGAGUAACAGUAGAGAAUUCAAUGUGCUACACAAAUAUACAUGUUCUUCUAUUAUUCAUACCAUGACAUUUGUUGGUUGUCUCAGGAGUAACAAGUGAGGCUUCUAUUGGUUCAUGAACUGCUUGAAUUAUGCAUAGUGAUGGGUAGGCAUUCACCGUGUACAAACUGGUUUUGAACCGUGCAUUUCCUGGGGGCAAUAUUUCUCAAGGUAACUAGCAAACUUUUAAGUUAUUUCAGCCUGCUGAGUAUUAGUAAUUACUACCGUGGCAGUGAUCCCAGCAUGCAUGCUUUCUUGUAAACGUGGGAGAUAAUGAAUGUAUAAUUGUUGGGAGGUCAGAAUCAUCAUUGUAUUUAUUCACACUCAAAGAGGUUUUCUACCUCAGCUGGAAUAUAAAUUAUGACAUCAAACUGCUAAGUAGCUAUCUGCAGUUCAGUUGUCACUAUAAAUAGCUGUCCACAAGAGGGAGGUGGCAGUAGAUCAUAUGUUUUAAGAACAGAACUGUACAAUUGUAUCCUAACAGUCCUGCUACAUUAUCAGUUUUAGGCUUUUGUAUCUAAUACCUGUUUAAUGUGUUUUUAGUUAUUCAUUUGUAGGGACAAUUCUAGCCAUCUAUAAGGGCAUGAAAACCCAUUAGUACAGCAUUCACUGCAUAAAUACAGCACAUUGGUUUUACCAAAGGAAAAGCCCUUUCAGAAAAGGUUAAUAAAGACAAUAUUUUGCUUGUUAGCAAAUACUUUUUUAC